rnacentral:rRNA from 1 species
UACGGAGGGUGCGAGCGUUGUCCGGAAUCACUAGGGCGUAAAGGGCGCGUAGGCGGCGCGACAAGUCAGUGGUGAAAGCCCGAGCUCAACUUCGGGUCGGCCACUGAUACUGUCGGGCUACGAGCACUGUAGAGGCAGGUGGAAUUCCGGGUGUAGCGGUGGAAUGCGUAGAGAUCCGGAAGAACACCGGUGGCGAAGGCGGCCUGCUGGGCAGUAGCUGACGCUGAGGCGCGACAGCGUGGGGAGCAAACAGG